UACAUUCAUGAUUCUGAUGUUUUUUCCAGACAGCAAUAGGCAACAUACAACCCCACGGGUACACCACUUACACUGCUCAUGCUGUUCUUAAAGCAAUCAGAGUUGAUUUUCCAAGAUCCACCCGUUUCAAUAACUCAUGCACUUCUAAAAUAAUUGUCCUUAUUACUGAUGGAAGGGCUAGUGACUCUUCAAGGCUUCGGUCUAUUUCCUUGAUGGCCAAGAAUGAAGGAGUUAAGAUUCUUGCCAUUGGAGUUGGCAAUGCCAAUCAACGAGAACUUGUAGUUCUAACCCGACCAGAGAUUGGGACGAGUGACAGAGUGUAUUCUAUCAAUGAGUACGAUGCGCUACAGAAUCUUGUUCAAACAAUGAGAUCAAAUAUACUGGCCUAAAAUUGA